rnacentral:rRNA from 1 species
CCGAUAGUGAACCAGUACCGUGAGGGAAAGGCGAAAAGAACCCCGGCGAGGGGAGUGAAAAAGAACCUGAAACCGUGUACGUACAAGCAGUGGGAGCACGCUUAGGCGUGUGACUGCGUACCUUUUGUAUAAUGGGUCAGCGACUUAUAUUCUGUAGCAAGGUUAACCGAAUAGGGGAGCCGAAGGGAAACCGAGUCUUAACUGGG